GUAAAAAUGGAAGAAAUGUCUCAACUUAAUUAUACCUGGCGCAUACUGCAAUGAUGAUGUUGUAUACCUACUUCUGAAGUUUAAGAAAUAUCUCAACUUUUCGUAAUAGCUUAUAUACCAAUUUUUCUUAAUUGUUCGUGUCGUCAUGAGAAAUUGAACUGUCGCAUUGCAUUCGUGUUACCUGAAAAUUAUAGCCCAUAGAAUGAGUUCAAUUAGAAAACCGUGAUUCAUUCGACAAAAAUAAGCAAACA
rnacentral:lncRNA from 1 species